rnacentral:rRNA from 1 species
UACGUAGGGAGCAAGCGUUGUCCGGAAUCAUUGGGCGUAAAGCGCGCGUAGGUGGCUUCGUAAGUCCGUUGUGAAAGUCAAAGGCUCAACCUUUGAAAGCCGAUGGAUACUGCGGAGCUAGAGUACGGAAGAGGCGAGUGGAAUUCCUGGUGUAGCGGUGAAAUGCGCAGAUAUCAGGAGGAACACCAAUGGCGAAGGCAGCUCUCUGGGACGGUACUGACGCUGAGACGCGAAAGCGUGGGGAGCAAACAGG